rnacentral:rRNA from 1 species
UACAGAGGUCUCAAGCGUUGUUCGGAUUCAUUGGGCGUAAAGGGUGCGUAGGCGGCGCGGUAAGUCGGGUGUGAAAUCUCGGAGCUUAACUCCGAAACUGCAUUCGAUACUGCCGUGCUUGAGGACUGGAGAGGAGACUGGAAUUUACGGUGUAGCGGUGAAAUGCGUAGAUAUCGUAAGGAAGACCAGUGGCGAAGGCGGGUCUCUGGACAGUUCUUGACGCUGAGGCGCGAAAGCUAGGGGAGCAAACGGG